rnacentral:rRNA from 1 species
UAGGGAAUCUUCGGCAAUGGGGGAAACCCUGACCGAGCAACGCCGCGUGAGUGAAGAAGGUUUUCGGAUCGUAAAGCUCUGUUGUUAAGGAAGAACGAGUGUGAGAAUGGAAAGUUCAUGCUGUGACGGUACUUAACCAGAAAGGGACGGCUAACUACGUGCCAGCAGCCGCGGUAAUACGUAGGUCCCGAGCGUUGUCCGGAUUUAUUGGGCGUAAAGCGAGCGCAGGCGGUUAGAAAAGUCUGAAGUGAAAGGCAGUGGCUCAACCAUUGUAGGCUUUGGAAACUGUUUAACUUGAGUGCAGAAGGGGAGAGUGGAAUUCCAUGUGUAACGGUGAAAUGCGUAGAUAUAUGGAGGAACACCGGUGGCGAAAGCGGCUCUCUGGUCUGUAACUGACGCUGAGGCUCGAAAGCGUGGGGAGCGAACAGG